GACGAACGCUGGCGGCGUGCUUAACACAUGCAAGUCGAACGGCAAGGCCCUGCUUUUGUGGGGUGCUCGAGUGGCGAACGGGUGAGUAACACGUGAGUAACCUGCCCUUGACUUUGGGAUAACUUCAGGAAACUGGGGCUAAUACCGGAUAGGAGCUCCUGCUGCAUGGUGGGGGUUGGAAAGUUUCGGCGGUUGGGGAUGGACUCGCGGCUUAUCAGCUUGUUGGUGGGGUAGUUGCUUACCAAGGCUUUGACGGGUAGCCGGCCUGAGAGGGUGACCGGCGACAUGGGGACUGAGAGACGGACCAGACGCCUACGGGAGGCAGCAGUGGGGAAUAUUGCACAAUGGGCGGAAGCCUGAUGCAGCAACGCCGCGGGCGGGAUGACGGCCUUCGGGGUGUAAACCGCUUUCGCCUGUGACGAAGCGGGAGUGACGGUAAUGGGUAAAGAAGCACCGGCUAACUACGUG
rnacentral:rRNA from 1 species